ACCCCGCGCUUGGCCGGGUUACGCCAAGCAUCCUCCCUGUUGGACUGACCCGGGCCUCGCGCUCGGGUCCUUUU
rnacentral:ncRNA from 1 species